UAUCCGCUCGAAAGAUUCGUCUUGAAAAAGCUACAAAAGUUAACGUGUGAAUUUAGGUAAUAUGUCCGAAUAUAAAUUAAAAACCGUUAAAUUCGAAAGUCCUGUUGUCAAGCAGUCAGGUACGAGACUUGUCAACCUGUUCAAUUCUUCACUCGAUCUAUAGUGUAUGAUGCAGUCCAUUCUGUAAGCCGUCUGUACGUUCGUAAUAUGUACUUUUAAGUUGGCUGAAGAGGGGCUAAUGCCCGAAACGCGACUUGUAAAUUGCGUUCCAACUGAGUAAAGAGAUGAAUGAUUUGCCAAGUGUUUUGAAAAAAUACACCGUAGUGUCUGUAUAAAAAUUCACAAAGAAUGUUAUUUAAAAUUCAUACUAUAAAACGUGAUUUAAAACUGAAUUUUUAUGAAAUAAAUAUUUUUAAAAUCAAAUUCUUGUUUUCAUCGAGCUAUCAAACAAACACAAUUGAUUCUAUCAUAUUAUUCAACAAAUACAUAACGACGGAUGCAUUUUUUUUGAAUGCAUAUAACAUUCCUUACCUUAAUAUUCAUGCCUGCUAUGGUAACACAAUCACUGUAGUAUAGUUGCUUAGAUAAAG